GGCAAGAUGGCCGAGUGGUUAUGGCGGUGGUCUCAAGUCAAAUACUUGCGCUAGUAAAUAGUGAAGAAUGCCACUGGAGCAAUCCGCAGGGGUUCGAAUCCCCUUCUUGUCA